rnacentral:rRNA from 1 species
GUUAUCUGAACCUUCGGGGAACGAUAACGGCGUCGAGCGGCGGACGGGUGAGUAAUGCCUAGGAAAUUGCCCUGAUGUGGGGGAUAACCAUUGGAAACGAUGGCUAAUACCGCAUGAUGCCUACGGGCCAAAGAGGGGGACCUUCGGGCCUCUCGCGUCAGGAUAUGCCUAGGUGGGAUUAGCUAGUUGGUGAGGUAAGGGCUCACCAAGGCGACGAUCCCUAGCUGGUCUGAGAGGAUGAUCAGCCACACUGGAACUGAGACACGGUCCAGACUCCUACGGGAGGCAGCAGUGGGGAAUAUUGCACAAUGGGCGCAAGCCUGAUGCAGCCAUGCCGCGUGUGUGAAGAAGGCCUUCGGGUUGUAAAGCACUUUCAGUCGUGAGGAAGGUGGUGUAGUUAAUAGCUGCAUUAUUUGACGUUAGCGACAGAAGAAGCACCGGCUAACUCCGUGCCAGCAGCCGCGGUAAUACGGAGGGUGCGAGCGUUAAUCGGAAUUACUGGGCGUAAAGCGCAUGCAGGUGGUUUGUUAAGUCAGAUGUGAAAGCCCGGGGCUCAACCUCGGAAUAGCAUUUGAAACUGGCAGACUAGAGUACUGUAGAGGGGGGUAGAAUUUCAGGUGUAGCGGUGAAAUGCGUAGAGAUCUGAAGGAAUACCGGUGGCGAAGGCGGCCCCCUGGACAGAUACUGACACUCAGAUGCGAAAGCGUGGGGAGCAAACAGGAUUAGAUACCCUGGUAGUCCACGCCGUAAACGAUGUCUACUUGGAGGUUGUGGCCUUGAGCCGUGGCUUUCGGAGCUAACGCGUUAAGUAGACCGCCUGGGGAGUACGGUCGCAAGAUUAAAACUCAAAUGAAUUGACGGGGGCCCGCACAAGCGGUGGAGCAUGUGGUUUAAUUCGAUGCAACGCGAAGAACCUUACCUACUCUUGACAUCCAGAGAACUUUCCAGAGAUGGAUUGGU